GUGAUUUGCUCUUGAACAAUUAACAGAGUGAAGGCUGUGUUCCAUCUCCUCACAGGCUCCCGCCGGGCACCCUUGGGAGCGCAGGAGGAGAAAGGCUUUCUUCUUGAUCCUAUUACUGCUGCCCAGCGUCAAGAAGGAUUAAUUAACCCACCAGGUUUUGCUUCAUUACGAGGAAAAAAGAAAAGCCAGUGACAGUGGAAUUCAAACAUUGAACAGGGCAACUGGAGCCCAGAUGUGAUACCCGGAGCUGGUGCUCAUCGUCGGCGCCCUGGGGCUGUUGGUCAACGUGGUGGGGCUGCUCAUCUUCCAGGACUACGCCGCCUGGUUCUCGUGUUGCAGACGGGACCUCGGUCACCGCCUUCAGCAGCGUUAGCAGCUGGCAGAGGACUGCGCUCCCGGUGCUUCCCGGGGACCCCAGGGCCCAGAGGACCUGCGGCUCGCAUCGGCCCCAACAGCCCCCGGCUUGGACUCGGCCGUAACCCUUCGGGGGACCUCGGUGAAAAGAAAGCAGGAGAAGGGGGCGACCGUGUUCUCAAACAUAGCAGAACUUAUACACAACACAAGGAUUCUUCUUUGAAUGCAGGUGAUUCCUUCAACACCCAGAAUGAGCCAGAAGAGAUGAUGAAAAAAGAGAAAAAGUCUGAAGCUCUGAAUAUCAGAGGUAGGAUUGACUUUGGGCCUAUUUGAAAUCGCUUUCUAUGACACAUAUGAACUGUGCUGUAAAUUUCUCUUUGACUUUUAAUAAGGCAAAGUUGUGUUUGAAAGUAGGCCAGUUACAUGCAUAGACUAUGACCUGACUCUCUUUUGCAAUCACUGCAUUGAUCCUGGGGAGAAGCUGGUUGCUAAUGAUGUAUCUCAGCUCCACUUAGACCCGUGCUAAUACUGCCUGUUCCAGAACUGCACAUGUCAACGUUAUGUUACUACUUUACUUGGUUUCACUAGUCCAUAGAUACUGCUAACAAAUAGUGAAGCCUAUUUUAAUUGAAUGUGCUUUUGAUAAAGGUAGGAAAACAGUAGGUGAGCUGCUAUCCAAGGUUGUGCCCUAUCUGGCAUUGCCGAAUGACCCUGUGGCAUCAGUUAUUUCUGCCAGAAAUCUGCCUUUGUGAAGGCACAGUUGGCUCACUAAAACCUCCACUCUCAUGACCAAAGGGAGUGUCUGGUGAGGCCCAUGGCAGGCACCUAACUAGCAUUCUUCUCACUAUGCGGUCAAGUCAGAAGCACUGGACUAAGGUCAGCCCAGGGGUUUUUGAGAUGUGUUUCUCGCUGGACACCGUUGUAUCCAACAGCUCUCCUUUCCAAUUUCUUCGGCACAGAUUUCGCUUCAGAGUAAUUCCAGAAGGGGUUAAUCCCCAAUCUUGAUUUUGAGAAUUCCAACAAGGAUUAAGCAACCCUCUACUUUCCUGUGGAUUGGGGAAAGCCUGUAAGUGGGGUUUAGAUGGAAAUAAUAUAAUGAAAAAUUAAUAAUUCAGGAGAUAUCUUCACCUUGAGUGUCUCACAUCUGUUUUAAAAAGUAAUUUUCAGAAUGAACCAACAAGGAAAAUACAGAAGAGAACAACAAUAACAUAUGAGCUCCUAAAAUUUUCUAAAUUAAACAAAUUUAAAUACAACAGGGAAAUUUGCUCUCCAAAAGAGCUUAGUAGUAAGCUUUU
rnacentral:lncRNA from 13 species